rnacentral:lncRNA from 1 species
AUGCAUGUACCGCAAGUUUGAUGUGAUGGAGAAUCUUCUUUUUGCAUAGUGUCAAAGAUAGGAUUUUGGGAACUAAACAGGACCUCAGUAUAGACAGGCUCCACUUGGACUGUGAUUGGUAGGCUGCAGAAAUUGUUGCGCUCACCUUGUAUAUGAGAUAAGGUAGAGUUACCAUCCAUAUGUCUCUUCCCCAAUCCUUUCCAUCUUCGCUGAGCAAAUGAGCAGAGUACAUGCUCCCAUGGCUGGCUAGUGCCAUUGCUUGAGUCACCGUGACAUGCACAGGUUAACUUUGCCACCAAUUGACUCAUUCGCGAUGUAGGAAACUUGUUUUUCUUGAUGUCACUGCUGCCCAAAACUUAGUGAAUUACCGGGACGACCACAGGCGAUGUUGCUUAACAUGAGCAGCACCCCCGCCCGCGCCGCCACAGCGUCACUCAGCCUGCUCUGCUCGGCGCGUAGGCUAGCUCUGCUCUAUGCCGCCGCCUAGCGAUGCCGGAGGAGCCUGGGAAGCGGGAGCUGCCAGACCGCCCGUCACGAACCAAUGGCCGGUGUCCUAUCUCAUCAUGUUCAAUCUUCUCUUCGGCUAACUGACUCUGACAAUCUCGAAUGGUAUGUCUUAUGGCUUCGAUUCAUUACACGUGAGCUUGAUUUUGACAGUAAGCAACUAGAUUGGUGAUUGAAUUUGUGGGGAUUCGAUUCAAUUCACUCGACUCCUCAUCGCUCUCUGAAGCUCUCAAGGCCAACGCCGCCGCCACCAAACCUGGUCCGGCCUUCCAGUCCGGCACAGCCUUCACCCCGCCACCGUCGCCAACCUCAACCCGGGCUUCAACUUUCUGGUGAUGCGGGAGGUUGGGAGCAGCCAGAGUGGUAGGGGCUGGCCUGCGCACCAUAGCUGAUAUAGCUGCGGUGGUAGAGCGUGUGUCGAGCGGCGGUGCGACUCCGGCGAGGUGGAGCCCAGCUCGAAGUCCUCCUCAGCAAGGUGCCGCAGGGCUCCAUCCGUCUGGCCUGAGCUUGGCCAUGGCCGACGUUGGUGGCACAGGUGUACCACUAAUGCGGCAGUGGAAAGGGAAGGCGCGUUGGGGAAUAAGGAGAGGAGAAGCAAAGUUGAAGCGGCACGCGUGGCUAUAGAGGUUAGUCGCCGGUUAUGGGCAGGCGGCGGCGGAUGAGAUUCGUCGCCGGUGAUGACCGGCGCGCAGGCCAGGAAGAAGCAGCAGCUCGGGAAAAGAUAUUUGGGGAAGAGCACUUGCUCACAGGUGGUGACCCCAACUUCUCACCUGCUGCCCAAGCGAGCCUGCAUCGCGUGAAACGAACCCGGCCCUUGUUUACUUUGCGAAUUUGGGAGGUGACAAAUUACUGUAGCAAUACUGUAGCGUUUCGUUUGUAUUUGUGAAUUAUUGUCCAAAUAUUGACUAAUUAGGCUCAAAAGAUUCGUCUCGCAAAGUACAAUAAAACUGUGCAAUUAGUUUUUGAUUUCGUCUAC